AAAAAUGCAGCAGAACCCCGCUGAUUGACAGAACUGGAAGAUAACUGCCUUUUCCAAUGUUCUUUCAAAAGUCAGAUACAGCAACAAUGAUCAGUAUCAACUUAGCAGGGACUACAAAUGCAUGUAAUGUAAAAGGGACCUCUCCUUGAAGAAGAGACCAUGGCACAGCCAGCGCAGCACAGGAACAUAAGACCUGAGACAUGGCUGACAAUAGUUUAUGAAAGGUCCUUGUGAUGGGAGUGGAAGAACUUCACUGACAGAGCUCAGACCCAACUGAACACCUGAGGAAUGAAUGAGUACAAGCCAAGAAAAUGUGCCAAAAGAAGACUUUUAGAAUUUUGCUUAAGUGGUUUAUGAUUGUUCAGAAAUGGAAGAAGUCUGAUCUUAAAAUGUAUUGUCAGUGCAGGGUCAAACUGUAAUGCAAAGUAUUAAGAUGAAACAAAUCCUCUAAUCUACAUUUGUUAACUUAUUAUAUGGUCCCUGUUUUAUUACUAUUAUUAUUACAACGCUCUCAUUGAUAAUUAAACAGCAUUUUAAAUCAGCAAGUUUAAAUCCAUGCGGAUGACAAAAAAUGUAACCUGUAUGUGUUUUAACCUUAAGGCAUGUUGCUCUAGAUUGCUUUUAUCUAGAAAACCCCUGUUCCCAAACAUUUUAAACAAUAAAUCACAACCUGUAAUAAACAGGACAUAUAAAGUCUAUUUUAUUAAAGUAUGAACUGUGUAAAUUGCAGACUUUGGACACAAAUUGCCAUGUUUUAUAGGCAAUGCAGUGAAUUUCCACAUAAUUCCAGUGUGAAAGUGGUAAUAUAUACGCUAAUAUUGUGCAAGCUGCAUCAAAUAUUGGGGAGAGUAUCACAUUAAAUGUGUGAAUGUAGAUGUGAUUCUAGUAAGAUGGUAAAAUAAAAGCCCUUAUUAAUC